GUCACUCUUGUUUUUAUUAGUUUUUUAUUUUAGCUGCUAUACAUCAUUAUUUUAAUUAGAGUUUUUACUACUAGUAUUCACUUUAAUGAACUGGAUGUCAUUCUUAAUUGAAGAAAAGCAGUUUAGUAUCAUCUGAAAUUUGAUGGAGCCUUUGUAAAGUUCAUUUUUAUCCAAGGAUAGAUCUUAAAAGUGCUUCAACCUCAUAAAUUUGGAGCCAAAGUCAUGUCAGUUUAACUUGAAUGCUCAGUGACCCAAGAAGAAGCUUACUAACAGCUUUAUUAGGCAAAGGAAUAUUGCUGAGUCUAGUAAAAUUCUCACUGUCCAAUCAAGUCUUCAGCAACUGAGUUCAUUCUCAUUCUCUUCAACUUCACAGCAGAAAGAAUAACCUUGAGAUGCAGGUCUCCCGGGGACUCAGCCUGCUGGAUUCAGAGCCCAGCACCGCUAUGAAAUUAGCACCGUAUUUCCAUCUUCUGCAGAGGAAUUCGUGAGUGGUCGGAACUCCCACUCCGUAUCACAGGCAAGGAAGUCUUCCGAGGAUGCUAGCUGAGCCUUCAAGGAGAUUCAUGUAAGCUGAGAAUGUGCACAAAGCUCACAUACCUGCUGACUGGCCUGGAUAUCUCUGGCAGACACCUGAAAGCCUCAUUUUGAUGAGAGAUCCUGGCCAGACUCAGAAGUCUUCUCCUCCCAGGCCUCGUUCUCCUGAGAGGCCGAGCUGGAAGCAGAUUCCUGGCCCUAAGGCCAGCACUCUUGCCUCUGUGGUGCAGGACACCCGAGUGACAAAUCCCAUUUGCCUAAUGAGGAAACAGCGUCAUCUAGUGGCGAUUUAUCCUUUUUCUAGGAAAUGCUUUUUUAUGAGGGGCAUGCUUAACUGGAAUCCCUGGCACGAUGGCUUCAGAAAGACUGGAAGUGACCUGGAGACAGAAGCACCACUGAUGACAAAAGGUGAGUAUGUUGGGCAAUGUUGGACAGAGAUCUGGGCUAGGAAGAUCAGAUGCACCUCAGGAGGAGGCCGGUCUCACCUUGAAACUCGAGAAGAACUCCAGGGGUCGUGCCACCAUUCGAAAAGACCCCGAUGUCCCCGUCCACUCGAGAUAAGGCCUCAUCCCCCAGAGACUGAAUAG
ensembl:lncRNA